AGUGAACGCUGGCGGUAGGCCUAACACAUGUAAGUCGAACGGCAGCACAGGAGAGCUUGCUCUCUGGGUGGCGAGUGGCGGACGGGUGAGGAAUACAUCGGAAUCUACUCUGUCGUGGGGGAUAACGUAGGGAAACUUACGCUAAUACCGCAUACGACCUACGGGUGAAAGCAGGGGAUAUUCGGACCUUGCGCGAUUGAAUGAGCCGAUGUCGGAGUAGCUAGUUGGCGGGGUAAAGGCCCACCAAGGCGACGAUCCGUAGCUGGUAUGAGAGGAUGAUCAGUCACACUGGAACUGAGGCACGGUCCAGACUCCUACGGGAGGCAGCAGUGGGGAAUAUUGGACAGUGGGCGCAAGCCUGAUCCAGCCAUACCGCGUGGGUGAAGAAGGCCUUCGGGUUGUAAAGCCCUUUUGUUGGGAAAGAAAUCCAGCUGGCUAAUACCCGGUUGGGAUGACGGUACCCAAAGAAUAAGCACCGGCUAACUUCGUGCCAGCCGCCGCGGUAA
rnacentral:rRNA from 1 species